rnacentral:rRNA from 1 species
UCAGUUAAAAAGGCCUUCCUGUUUGGUUAAGGGAAAGAAUCAAGUUACCGGUUCCGGAAUUUAGGCCGGGUGAUCCUUCUGAACGCGGUACCUAACCAGGAAAAGGCCAACGGGCUAACCUAUCGGUGGCCAAGCCAGCCCCGCGGGUUAAAUACGUUAGAGUGGGCCAAAGGCGUUGGUCCCGGAAAUUAUUGGGGCGUAAUAAGGGGCUCGCAGGGCGGGUUUUCUUUAUAGUCUUGAUGGUGAAAAGCCCCCGGCUCAACCCGGGGGAGGGGUCAUUGGAAAACUUGGGGAAACUUGAGUGCAGAAAGAGGAGAGUGGAAUUUUCACGUGUAGCGGUGAAAAUGCGUAGAGAUGUGGAGGAACACCAGUGGGCGAAGGCGACUCUCUGGUCUGUAACUGACGCUGAGGAGCGAAAGCGUGGGGAGCGAACAGGAUUAGAUACCCUGGUAGUCCACGCCGUAAACGAUGAGUGCUAAGUGUUAGGGGGUUUCCGCCCCUUAGUGCUGCAGCUAACGCAUUAAGCACUCCGCCUGGGGAGUACGGUCGCAAGACUGAAACUCAAAGGAAUUGACGGGGGCCCGCACAAGCGGUGGAGCAUGUGGUUUAAUUUGAAGCAACGCGAAGAACCUUACCAGGUCUUGACAUCCUCUGACAAUCCUAGAGAUAGGACGUCCCCUUCGGGGGCAGAGUGACAGGUGGUGCAUGGUUGUCGUCAGCUCGUGUCGUGAGAUGUUGGGUUAAGUCCCGCAACGAGCGCAACCCUUGAUUUUAGUUGCCAGCAUUCAGUUGGGCACUCUAAGGUGACUGCCGGUGACAAACCGGAGGAAGGUGGGGAUGACGUCAAAUCAUCAUGCCCCUUAUGACCUGGGCUACACACGUGCUACAAUGGACAGAACAAAGGGCAGCGAAACCGCGAGGUUAAGCCAAUCCCACAAAUCUGUUCUCAGUUCGGAUCGCAGUCUGCAACUCGACUGCGUGAAGCUGGAAUCGCUAGUAAUCGCGGAUCAGCAUGCCGCGGUGAAUACGUUCCCGGGCCUUGUACACCCCCCCCGUGCGCACCACGAGAGUUUGUAACACCCGAAGUCGGUGAGGUAACCUUUUAGGAGCCCACCCCCCCCGAAGGGUUAACU